rnacentral:misc_RNA from 1 species
GCCUUUCCCACCUUAAUUUUUCAAUUCUAGAUCUGCAAUUUCAAACUUCUCUCUUUUUCCCCAAAACCAAAAUCCCCAGCUAGGGUUUUACCACUCCUUUUGCAGCUGUUGAGUUGUAGCAGAAUUCUUCUUCUUCUAUGGCGUCCGAGAAAGAAACCCUAGAUGACAAGAAACCAGAGGAAGUGAUUGAGGAGCAACAACCGAAGGAUAACGACAAGGAAAAGGAAGAGGAAUCAAUGCAAGUUGACAAAAAGGAUGUUGAAUCAGAGGAGGAGAAAGAAGAAUCAGAGGAGGAGGACGAAGAAAAAGAAGAAGAGAAACCAGUCAAGAAGAAGGGGAAAAGCAGAGGUGAGAGUACGGAAGAGCCUGUAACACCAAUCACAAGACCAACUAGGGAAAGGAAAACUGUGGAACGCUAUUCCGAGUCUUCGGAAGCUAGAGGUUCCACGCCUAAGCCCUUGUCAAUUAGGAAGGGUAGUGGUACUCAGCUGAAGGAUAUACCAAAUGUGGCUUAUAAACUAUCCAAGAGAAAACCUGAUGACAACCUGCAAAUACUUCACAACAUUCUUUUUGGCAAGAAAUCAAAGGUACAUAGUUUGAAGAAAAACAUAGGACAGUUUUCAGGAUUUGUUUGGGUUGAGGAUGAGGAAAAACAAAGGCGAAAAACCAAAGAGAAGCUGGACAAGUGUGUUAAGGAAAAGCUGCUGGAUUUUUGUGAUGUCCUCAAUAUUCCAGUGAGCAGAACUUCUGCAAAGAAGGAUGAGCUCACAGUGAAAUUAUUAGAGUUCCUAGAAUCUCCUCAUUCUACAACAGAUUCCUUGCUUGCUGAGAAGGAACAGGGUAAGAAGCAAAAGAGAAAGGGCUCAGCUAGCAAAAGUGCAGGCUCUUUGGAUAAGUCGGUUAAGA